rnacentral:rRNA from 1 species
AACGAACGCUGGCGGCAUGCCUAACACAUGCAAGUCGAACGAGACCUUCGGGUCUAGUGGCGCACGGGUGCGUAACGCGUGGGAACCUGCCCUUAGGUUCGGAAUAACUCCCCGAAAGGGGUGCUAAUACCGGAUAAUGUCUUCGGACCAAAGAUUUAUCGCCUUUGGAUGGGCCCGCGUUGGAUUAGCUAGUUGGUAGGGUAAAAGCCUACCAAGGCGACGAUCCAUAGCUGGUCUGAGAGGAUGAUCAGCCACACUGGGACUGAGACACGGCACAGACUCCUACGGGAGGCAGCAGUGGGGAAUAUUGGACAAUGGGCGAAAGCCUGAUCCAGCAAUGCCGCGUGAGUGAUGAAGGCCUUAGGGUUGUAAAGCUCUUUUACCCGGGAUGAUAAUGACAGUACCGGGAGAAUAAGCUCCGGCUAACUCCGUG